rnacentral:tRNA from 1 species
AUUUAAGUAGCUUAUUAGAGCGUUGUGCUGAAGACACAAAGGAGAAUUUAUUAUUUCUUAAGUA